GACGUAGGGCGCGAGCGUUGUCCGGAUUUAUUGGGCGUAAAGAGCUCGUAGGCGGCUUGUUGCGUCGACUGUGAAAGCCUGCGGCUCAACCGUGUGGUCUGCAGUCGAUACGGGCAGGCUGGAGUUCGGUAGGGGAGACUGGAAUUCCUGGUGUAGCGGUGAAAUGCGCAGAUAUCAGGAGGAACACCGGUGGCGAAGGCGGGUCUCUGGGCCGAUACUGACGCUGAGGAGCGAAAGCGUGGGGAGCGAACAGG
rnacentral:rRNA from 1 species